rnacentral:rRNA from 1 species
UGGGGAAUAUUGGACAAUGGGCGCAAGCCUGAUCCAGCAAUGCCGCGUGUGUGAAGAAGGCCUUCGGGUUGUAAAGCACUUUUAUCAGGAGCGAAACGCUGUCGGCUAAUACCCGGCGGAACUGACGGUACCUGAGGAAUAAGCACCGGCUAACUUCGUGCCAGCAGCCGCGGUAAUACGAAGGGUGCAAGCGUUAAUCGGAAUUACUGGGCGUAAAGCGUGCGUAGGCGGUUUCUUAAGUCUGCUGUGAAAUCCCCGGGCUCAACCUGGGAAUGGCAGUGGAUACUGGGAGGCUAGAGUGUGUCAGAGGGUGGUGGAAUUCCCGGUGUAGCGGUGAAAUGCGUAGAGAUCGGGAGGAACAUCAGUGGCGAAGGCGGCCACCUGGGACAACACUGACGCUGAGGCACGAAAGCGUGGGGAGCAAACAGGAUUAGGAUACCCUGGUAGUCCACGCCCUAAAGCGAUGCGAACUGGAUGUUGGUCUCAACUCGGAGAUCAGUGUCGAAGCUAACGCGUUAAGUUCGCCGCCUGGGGAGUACGGUCGCAAGACUGAAACUUAAAGG